GACUUGCUCCGGUGGAGAAUGGGGAGCUACUGAGUGUUGCCCAAUUGGGCUGCGACAAAAUGAAAGCAGGAAGGAAGAUGUCACAAGGGCAGUGAUCUCUCUUUUCUCCUUCUUCUUCUGCAUUUUCCUGAGCUGCCCCCUCUCAUCACAUUUUCCUCAGGGUUUCUCAACUGCAAACUGACAACCAAGCCUCUCGGGGAAGAUGGAAAACACCCAAGUGGGGCAACAUCCUCCAGUAAAUGGAAAAGGCACUGAAGCGACUGGCACACAGUGGGUCCAGGGAGCAGGAUGGAGUGAGGGGAAGGGCUCUGGGGGUGGCCGGGGCUACCGCUGCUGCUCUAGGUCUCAGGUAAGGAGAGGCAGGGAGAGGGAUGUAGAUGGCCAAGGGGAGGUACCUACUAAGAGGGGUUUUCUCUCAUUUCUUAAGGAGGGACUGGAAUGAGAUCAGGGUAUGUACAUGUUAGAGACAGGAAAGCAAGAAAGGAAGGUCAUGAAUGCGGACUGUGCUGGUUGACUCCGUCCCAUCAGGGAUUGGAUGAUGAAAUAGAAGGUAGAGGUUCUUCUAGAGCAUCUUGAGGUUGAGAAAAUUAUGUGAAGUCAAACAAACAAUCUCUCAUCGCUGUGCUGAUAUCCUGGGAGAUGUCAAGAAGUGUAAGGCAGUCUCCCCCUAAAGGAAUCAGGCGCUAAGGCAUAGGAGCCUUAAUAGAGGAAAAGGCAAAUGACGACAAAAGGGUCAAGCAGCAACAUGAAGGCAAAACUACGGUGGAAGUCACUCUAGCAAGCCACAGAGAGGGGAUGUGGAAAGAAGGAGACAGAGGGAGGUCUGAACACACACAGAAGAGAAGGUGAUGCGGAGAUGGAACAGAGAGAUUUGAAGAUGCUGGCUUUGAAGACUGGAGUGAUACAGUCACAAGCCAAAGAACGUUGGCACCCACUGGAAGCUGGAGGAAGCAAGGGCUAGAUUCUUCCCUAGAGUCUCUGAAGGGAUCACAGCCUUGCCAAUACCUUGAUCCUGGAUCAGUGAUACUGACUUCAGACUUCUGGCCUCCAGAACUGUGAGAGAAUACAUUUCUAUUGUCUUAAGCCACCACAUUUGCAGUAAUAGGAAACAAAUGCAGGAUGUGACUGCUAACGGGCAUGGGGCUUCAUUUUGGGGUGACGAAAUGUUCUAAAACUGGACUGUGGUGGCGAAAUGUUCUAAAA